rnacentral:rRNA from 1 species
UGCCAGAUAGCCAUGCAUGUCUAAGUACACACGAAUUAAAAGUGAAACCGCAAAAGGCUCAUUAUAUCAGUUAUGGUUUAUUAGAUCGUUAACAGUUACUUGGAUAACUGUGGUAAUUCUAGAGCUAAUACAUGCAAUAUAAACACGGACCUUAUGGAACGUGUGCUUUUAUUAGGCUAAAACCAUGCGAUUUUUUCGAAAAUCGUUAUAAUGGUUGAACUCUAGAUAAUUUGCCGAUCGUAUGGUCUCGUACCGACGACAGAUCUUUCAAAUGUCUGCCCUAUCAACUAUUGAUGGUAGUAUCUAGGACUACCAUGGUUGCAACGGGUAACGGGGAAUCAGGGUUCGAUUCCGGAGAGGGAGCCUGAGAAACGGCUACCACAUCUAAGGAAGGCAGCAGGCGCGUAAAUUACCCACUCCCAGUUCGGGGAGGUAGUGACGAAAAAUAACAAUACAGGACUCAUAUCCGAGGCCCUGUAAUUGGAAUGAGUACACUUUAAAUCCUUUAACAAGGACCUAUUGGAGGGCAAGUCUGGUGCCAGCAGCCGCGGUAAUUCCAGCUCCAAUAGCGUAUAUUAAAGUUGUUGCGGUUAAAACGUUCGUAGUUGAACUUGUGCUUCAUACGGGUAGUAUAACUAUAAUUGUGGAUUGUACAUUACCUUAUGUAUGUAAGCGUAUUACCGGUGGAGUUCUAAUAUAUAAUAAUACUUGUAUUUUUAUGUAUACCUCCUAUUUAAACCUACUUCAGUGCUCUUCAUCGAGUGUGUKGUCCGUAA